UACGAAGGGGGCUAGCGUUGUUCGGAAUUACUGGGCGUAAAGCGCGCGCAGGUGGUCUUUCAAGUCAGUGGUGAAAGCCCGGAGCUCAACUCCGGAAAUGCCAUUGAAACUGUAAGACUUGAGGAUGAGAGAGGUGAGUGGAAUUCCCAGUGUAGAGGUGAAAUUCGUAGAUAUUGGGAAGAACACCGGUGGCGAAGGCGGCUCACUGGCUCAUAUCUGACGCUCAGGCGCGACAGCGUGGGGAGCAAACAGG
rnacentral:rRNA from 1 species